ACUCCUACGGGAGGCAGCAGUAGGGAAUCUUCCACAAUGGGCGCAAGCCUGAUGGAGCAACACCGCGUGAGUGAAGAAGGGUUUCGGCUCGUAAAGCUCUGUUGUUAAAGAAGAACACGUAUGAGAGUAACUGUUCAUACGUUGACGGUAUUUAACCAGAAAGUCACGGCUAACUACGUGCCAGCAGCCGCGGUAAUACGUAGGCGGCAAGCGUUAUCCGGAUUUAUUGGGCGUAAAGAGAGUGCAGGCGGUUUUCUAAGUCUGAUGUGAAAGCCUUCGGCUUAACCGGAGAAGUGCAUCGGAAACUGGAUAACUUGAGUGCAGAAGAGGGUAGUGGAACUCCAUGUGUAGCGGUGGAAUGCGUAGAUAUAUGGAAGAACACCAGUGGCGAAGGCGGCUACCUGGUCUGCAACUGACGCUGAGACUCGAAAGCAUGGGUAGCGAACAGGAUUAGAUACCCUGGUAGGAUAGCG
rnacentral:rRNA from 1 species